rnacentral:rRNA from 1 species
CAGCAGCCGCGGUAAUACGAAGGGGGCUAGCGUUGUACGGAUUUACUGGGCGUAAAGCGCACAUAGGCGGACUUUUAAGUCAGGGGUGAAGUCCCGGGGCUCAACCCCGGAACUGCCUUUGAUACUGGAAGUCUUGAGUAUGGUAGAGGUGAGUGGAAUUCCGAGUGUAGGGGUGAAAUUCGUAGAUAUUCGGAGGAACACCAGUGGCGAAGGCGGCUCACUGGACCAUUACUGACGCUGAGGUGCGAAAGCGUGGGGAGCAAACAGGAUUAGAUACCCCUGUAGUCCCUGUCUCUUAUAC